AAAAGAUGCUCAAACUGAGAUCAGGUGACUAGGGAGGGUGGGCACGGGGGUCAUGCUAUUUUUGGUCAAAAACUGUUGAACACUCAGCACAGAGUGGGCGGGUGGGCUCAUGAAUCACUCAUCAUGAAAUGGGCAAACUUGUUGAAAA